UACGGAGGGGGCUAGCGUUGUUCGGAAUUACUGGGCGUAAAGCGCACGUAAGCGGCUUUGUAAGUUAGAGGUGAAAGCCCGGGGCUCAACUCCGGAAUUGCCUUUAAGACUGCAUCGCUAGAAUUGUGGAGAGGUAAGUGGAAUUCCGAGUGUAGAGGUGAAAUUCGUAGAUAUUCGGAAGAACACCAGUGGCGAAGGCGACUUACUGGACACAUAUUGACGCUGAGGUGCGAAAGCGUGGGGAGCAAACAGG
rnacentral:rRNA from 1 species